rnacentral:rRNA from 1 species
AGCGAACGCUGGCGGCAUGCCUAACACAUGCAGGUCGCACGGGGGGGCUUCGGCCUCCCAGUGGCGGACGGGUGAGGAACGCGUAGGGACCUGUCGAGGGGUGGGGGAUAACCGCGGGAAACUGCGGCUAAUACCGCAUGACGCCGCGGCGUGACAGCCGGGGCCAAAGGCGAAAGCCGCCCGCCGAGGGGCCUGCGUCCGAUUAGCUGGUUGGCGGGGUAGCGGCCCACCAAGGCGUCGAUCGGUAGCUGGUCUGAGAGGGUGAUCAGCCACACCGGGACUGAGACACGGCCCGGACUCCUACGGGAGGCAGCAGUGGGGAAUAUUGGACAAUGGGCGCAAGCCUGAUCCAGCAAUGCCGCGUGGGUGAAGAAGGUCUUCGGAUUGUAAAGCCCUUUCGGCGGGGACGAUGGUGACGGUACCCGCAGAAGAAGCCCCGGCUAACUUCGUG